ensembl:snRNA U1 U1 spliceosomal RNA
AUACUUACCUGGCAAGGGAGACACCGUGAUCACCAAGGCGGUUCACCCAGGGCGAGGCUCAGCCAUUGCACUGCGGCUGUGCUGACCCCUGCGAAUUUCCCAAAUGUGGAAAUCUUGAUUGCAUAAUUUCUGUUAGUGGGGGACUGCGUUCGCGCUCUCCCCUG